AACGAACGCUGGCGGCGUGGAUAAGACAUGCAAGUCGAACGGGACAUUUUUAGUAGUAAUAUUAGAGAUGUUCAGUGGCGAACGGGUGCGUAACACGUGGAUACAUUCCGGAAAGCGGGGGAUAGCCCAGGGAAACUUGGAUUAAUACCGCAUGUGGUCGCAAGACUAAAGACGGGGAUCGAAAGACCUGUCACUUUCCGAUUGGUCCGCGGCCUAUCAGCUAGUUGGCGGGGUAAAAGCCCACCAAGGCGACGACGGGUAGCUGGUCUUAGAGGACGACCAGCCACACUGGAACUGAGACACGGUCCAGACACCUACGGGUGGCAGCAGUCGAGAAUCUUUCACAAUGGGGGCAACCCUGAUGGAGCGACGCCGCGUGGAGGAUAAGGUCUUCGGAUUGUAAACUCCUGUCAUGCGAGAACAAGGUUGCAGGGCUAAUACCCGUGCAAAUUGAUGGUACCGCAAGAGGAAGAGACGGCUAACUCUGUGCCAGCCGCCGCAGUAAUAC
rnacentral:rRNA from 1 species